rnacentral:rRNA from 1 species
AGACCGCCAGCUAAGGUCCCAAAGUCAUGGUUAAGUGGGAAACGAUGUGGGAAGGCCCAGACAGCCAGGAUGUUGGCUUAGAAGCAGCCAUCAUUUAAAGAAAGCGUAAUAGCUCACUGGUCGAGUCGGCCUGCGCGGAAGAUGUAACGGGGCUAAACCAUGCACCGAAGCUGCGGCAGCGACACUGUGUGUUGUUGGGUAGGGGAGCGUUCUGUAAGCCUGUGAAGGUGUGUCGUGAGGCAUGCUGGAGGUAUCAGAAGUGCGAAUGCUGACAUAAGUAACGAUAAAGCGGGUGAAAAGCCCGCUCGCCGGAAGACCAAGGGUUCCUGUCCAACGUUAAUCGGGGCAGGGUGAGUCGACCCCUAAGGCGAGGCCGAAAGGCGUAGUCGAUGGGAAACGGGUUAAUAUUCCCGUACUUGGUGUUACUGCGAAGGGGGGACGGAGAAGGCUAUGUUGGCCGGGCGACGGUUGUCCCGGUUUAAGCGUGUAGGUGUGUGUUCCAGGUAAAUCCGGUUCACUUUAACACUGAGGCGUGACGACGAGGCACUACGGUGCUGAAGCAACAAAUGCCCUGCUUCCAGGAAAAGCCUCUAAGCAUCAGGUAACAUCAAAUCGUACCCCAAACCGACACAGGUGGUCAGGUAGAGAAUACCAAGGCGCUUGAGAGAACUCGGGUGAAGGAACUAGGCAAAAUGGUGCCGUAACUUCGGGAGAAGGCACGCUGACACGUAGGUGAAGUGAUUUACUCAUGGAGCUGAAGUCAGUCGAAGAUACCAGCUGGCUGCAACUGUUUAUUAAAAACACAGCACUGUGCAAACACGAAAGUGGACGUAUACGGUGUGACGCCUGCCCGGUGCCGGAAGGUUAAUUGAUGGGGUCAGCGCAAGCGAAGCUCCUGAUCGAAGCCCCGGUAAACGGCGGCCGUAACUAUAACGGUCCUAAGGUAGCGAAAUUCCUUGUCGGGUAAGUUCCGACCUGCACGAAUGGCGUAAUGAUGGCCAGGCUGUCUCCACCCGAGACUCAGUGAAAUUGAACUCGCUGUGAAGAUGCAGUGUACCCGCGGCAAGACGGAAAGACCCCGUGAACCUUUACUAUAGCUUGACACUGAACAUUGAGCCUUGAUGUGUAGGAUAGGUGGGAGGCUUUGAAGUGUGGACGCCAGUCUGCAUGGAGCCGACCUUGAAAUACCACCCUUUAAUGUUUGAUGUUCUAACGUGGACCCGUUACCCGGGUUGCGGACAGUGUCUGGUGGGUAGUUUGACUGGGGCGGUCUCCUCCUAAAGAGUAACGGAGGAGCACGAAGGUUGGCUAAUCCUGGUCGGACAUCAGGAGGUUAGUGCAAUGGCAUAAGCCAGCUUGACUGCGAGCGUGACGGCGCGAGCAGGUGCGAAAGCAGGUCAUAGUGAUCCGGUGGUUCUGAAUGGAAGGGCCAUCGCUCAACGGAUAAAAGGUACUCCGGGGAUAACAGGCUGAUACCGCCCAAGAGUUCAUAUCGACGGCGGUGUUUGGCACCUCGAUGUCGGCUCAUCACAUCCUGGGGCUGAAGUAGGUCCCAAGGGUAUGGCUGUUCGCCAUUUAAAGUGGUACGCGAGCUGGGUUUAGAACGUCGUGAGACAGUUCGGUCCCUAUCUGCCGUGGGCGCUGGAGAACUGAGGGGGGCUGCUCCUAGUACGAGAGGACCGGAGUGGACGCAUCACUGGUGUUCGGGUUGUCAUGCCAAUGGCACUGCCCGGUAGCUAAAUGCGGAAGAGAUAAGUGCUGAAAGCAUCUAAGCACGAAACUUGCCCCGA